rnacentral:lncRNA from 1 species
UAUAUAUAUAUAUAUAAAAUUGAGCUCCUAUGCUUUUAAAAGUACCAAGUUAUUUGUGCGUGUAAGUUUUCGACUCUUAAAUUAAGGAAUGUGUUGUUAGGAUGAUGUGGGCCCCCUAGGGUUGAGUGGGUGGUUGGUUGAAUAGUAUAAUCUAACAAAUAAAAAUGAUAAAAAAUAUAGAACUAACGGUAAAAAAUUUAUAAGCACCAAGUGCUUGGUGCUUUUACAAGCACUAUAGCCGGACUCUAUAUAUAUAUAUAGAGAGAGAGAGAGAGGUGAGCUAGAAUACUAUCUAUAGCAAACGGGCUCCGUUGACACCUAUUUGUUUUUUAUGAUGGAGCCUCCAAAUCGAUGAUCCAUACCGUUUAAGAUGAUCUAUAUCACUUGAAGUAUCUAAAUUAUGUAUGCGCUAACGACAUAAA